rnacentral:rRNA from 1 species
GACGAACGCUGGCGGCGUGCCUAAUCCAUGCAAGUAGAACGAGUUGCGAACGGGUGAGUAACGCGUGGUAAACUGCCUCAUAGCGGGGGAUAAAUACGGGAAACGGUAGCUAAUACCGCAUACCAUUGGAUGUGCCCAGGUGGGAUUAGGUAGUAGGUGGGGUAACGGCUCACCUAGGGGACGAUCCCUAGCUGGUCUGAGGGGGGGACCAGCCACACUGGAACUGAGACACGGUCCAGACUCCUACGGGAGGCAGCAGUGGGGAAUAUUGCACAAUGGGCGCAAGCCUGAUGCAGCCAUGCCGCGUGUAUGAAGAAGGCCUUCGGGUUGUAAAGUACUUUCAGCGAGGAGGCGUUACUCGCAGAAGAAGCACCGGCUAACUCCGUGCCAGCCGCCGCGGUAAUAC